AACGCGAAGAACCUUACCCAGGCUCGAAAUGUAAUGGACAAUACCAGAGAUGGUAUGUUCCGCAAGGACUGUUAUAUAGGUGCUGCAUGGCUGUCGUCAGCUCGUGCCGUGAGGUGUUGGGUUAAGUCCCGCAACGAGCGCAACCCUUAUCAUUAGUUGCCAACACGCAAGGUGGGGACUCUAAUGAGACUGCCUGGGUUAACCAGGAGGAAGGUGAGGAUGAUGUCAAGUCCGCAUGGCCUUUAUGUCUGGGGCUACACACGUGCUACAAUGGUCGGUACAGAAGGCAGCAAGACCGCAAGGUGGAGCAAAUCCGAAAAGCCGAUCACAGUUCAGAUUGUAGUCUGCAACUCGACUACAUGAAGUUGGAAUUGCUAGUAAUGACGUGUCAGCAACAACGUCGUGAAUACGUUCCCGGGCCUUGUACACACCGCUGUA
rnacentral:rRNA from 1 species